rnacentral:rRNA from 1 species
CCUACGGGAGGCAGCAGUGGGGAAUAUUGCGCAAUGGGCGAAAGCCUGACGCAGCGACGCCGCGUGAGGGAUGAAGGUCUUCGGAUCGUAAACCUCUGUCAGCAGGGAAGAACGGUCACUGUGCUAAUCAGCAGUGAAUUGACGGUACCUGCAAAGGAAGCACCGGCUAACUCCGUGCCAGCAGCCGCGGAAAUACUGAGGGGGAGCGUGAAUCGGAAUUACUGGGUGGAAAGGGAGCGUAGACGGCAAUGCAAGACAGGGGUGAAAGCCCGGGGCCCAACCCCGGGACUGCCCUUGGAAAUGCAUGGCUGGGGUGCGUGAGGGGCAGGCGGAAUUCCUGGUGUAGCGGUGAAAUGCGUAGAUAUCAGGAGGAACACCAGCGGCGAAGGCGGCCUGCUGGACCGCAACUGACGUUGAGGCUCGAAAGCGUGGGGAGCGAACAGGAUUAGAUACCCGAGUAGUC